rnacentral:rRNA from 1 species
AUACGUAGGGGGCGAGCGUUGUCCGGAAUGAUUGGGCGUAAAGGGCGCGUAGGCGGCCCGGUAAGUCUGGAGUGAAAGUCCUGUUUUUAAGAUGGGAAUUGCUUUGGAUACUGUCGGGCUUGAGUGCAGGAGAGGUAAGUGGAAUUCCCAGUGUAGCGGUGAAAUGCGUAGAGAUUGGGAGGAACACCAGUGGCGAAGGCGGCUUUCUGGACUGUAACUGACGCUGAGGCGCGAAAGUGUGGGGAGCAAACAGGAUUAGAUACCCUGGUAGUCCACACUGUAAACGAUGAAUGCUAGGUGUAGGGGGUAUCGACCCCUUCUGUGCCGCAGUCAACACAAUAAGCAUUCCGCCAGGGGAGUACGGCCGCAAGGUUGAAACUCAAAGGAAUUGACGGGG